rnacentral:rRNA from 1 species
GAUGAACGCUGACAGAAUGCUUAACACAUGCAAGUCUUUGGCGAAGCUGUGCUUGCACAGCCUAGCCAAGGCGGACGGGUGAGUAACGCGUAAGGAACUUGCCCUGCAGUCAGGGAUAACAGACGGAAACGACUGAUAAGACCUGGUAAAGUCAGGCGGACUCAUGUCCAGCCUGAUGAAAAGAGAUGCUGCAGGAGAGCCUUGCGUCCUAUUAGCUUGUUGGUGGGGUAACGGCCCACCAAGGCGAUGAUAGGUAGCCGGCCUGAGAGGGUGGACGGCCACAAGGGGACUGAGAUACGGCCCUUACUCCUACGGGAGGCAGCAGUGGGGAAUAGUGGACAAUGGGGGCAACCCUGAUCCAGAAAUUCUGUGUGCACGAUGAAGGUUUUCGGAUUGUAAAGUGCUUUCAGCAGGGAAGAAAAAAAUGACGGUACCUGCAGAAGAAGCGACGGCUAAAUACGUG